GAGACCCACGCCAACAGUUGCCAGCUCGUCCUCCGGGAUGGUGGGGACACUGUUGGGACCGCCUCUGCUAAAGAGGAGGAAGGAAUGGGCAACGGUAGGUCAGCAUGCCCCGAAUUAUCCGGGCUACACGCGGGCUACAAUGGGUGGGACAAUGGGUAUCGACACCUAAAGGUGAAGGCAAUCUCCUAAACCCAUCCUUAGUUCGGAUUGUGGGCUGCAACUCGCCCACAUGAAGCUGGAAUCUGUAGUAAUCGUGUCUCAACAUGGCACGGUGAAUAU
rnacentral:rRNA from 1 species